UCCUCUCCUAUCUGCCGGGCGCUGCCCGCAUGGCCGCGGGGCCGGGCUGGGGAGGCCCAGCGCUCCUGCCUCUGCCUGCUCCUCUCGUUAACCCCUCCGCGGCACGCGCUGACCUGGCUGCCCGUGACCUGCAGCCGCCCGAGCCAGUCCUGCCCCGCUGGGGACCUGCCACUGCUGGAUGUGUCCCUGUGCUGGCUUGUGCUGGGCCUCAAAACACUCCUUCAACAAGAUAGAGGUUUCAUAGGUUUCAGCAGAUUAAACUGUGGAGUACUACCUUGAGAUAUCAAGCACAAGCUCUGCAGUAACAAGAUGUCCAGGCAGGACACGGUAAAGAGGAAAUCAUAAGGAAAUCUCAGAUUCAGCGGUCUCCCAGAUUAUCAUCUGGGAUACCACACAGAACAAUGGACUAAUUAUCUUCCCAGCAGAGAUAAAGAAAUAUUUCAUUGUAUGCUCCAGCUUCAUGUGUCAUUCAAAGAAAAAACUAUAAAUUAGGAGAUGAGGGAAAAAAAGAAGUAUAUUGUGUACACAGAAAGUAUUCUGAAAAACAUUUUAUGCUGUAGAGUCACUAUGUGUUAUUACAACUGGAGCAAAAAAGAGGAACCCCUUACUGGCUGAGCUGACACAGACCUCUCAGCAGCGAAGUAAAAUUCUGACCUCUGAAAGUUGUGAAACGGUUGCCUGCCCUUCCCUCUGGAAACCGCGCUGCUGCUGUCCAAGCCAGAAAGGCUGCAGUGCUAAGAAUUAAGUUCAGACUGGCAGAAGCACUACAAGUCCAGCAUUGCAACACCCACAUUUCCUGGGUGUUAUAAAUGAGGAUGGUUACUGGCAUCUUCACAGCUAUGCCUACAGCAGAAUAUAAGCACUUCCCACUUCCAGGACCUAUUUCAGAAUGACCCAAAGGGAAAAGUUUAAAGGGAAAACUUUUGAGCGAUAGUUUACCUUGCAACAGCCAUGCCACUAGGGACAUAGGAUGAAAAUAUAUUUAAACUUUCUCUUUGUAAUUGCAAAUUUCUUAUUCUGAGGGAUUAUUUAAGCCCGUAGAAUACAGUAACUCAGAUGAAGGAAGCCUUACAGACCAUUUCUAGCCAUCCCGCAGAGAGCAGUUUCUCAAGACAUCCUGUACGGGCAGGAAGACGCAGCCAGCGAUGCACGACGCGCGCCUGUUGAAGCGCCCGCGCAGCAGCAGCUUUUUGGUCCCUGCACCGCCGGAGCAGCCAUCUUAGCCCGUGGCUCCCUGCAGGGCCCUGGGGGCGCCCGGACCUGGGUCCGAGCCCGCUCCAGCUGCAGCUCACGGCCACCAGGCGCCGGAGCCGGCCAGCAGGCUCACAGCACACUGAGCCCUACCUCCUGUCGGAGAAGGACUGGGAAACAACAGGAAUCUUUUGCCAAAGAAGUUACAGAAAAGAAAACAGCAGUUAAGAGCAUGAUUUGAUUCAGAACUAGCUGAACAGCUCCCAGGAUUUCAGGCAGGUGUGCAAUGAUACGUCCAUCUCCUCGCCCAUUUACCAAGGCCAGCAACACCAAUGGGUGAGCAAUGAGCACAGAAAGUUUUGUUCAACCUCACAGACGCUUCCCGCUGUACAGCUGAAAGCAAGGCUUUUCUCCUUAAUAUUUAUCAUAACGCAUCACUGAAAGGACAAAUAAAUUAAAACACCCUGAGCGCCCUUAGGAGCCUUCCUCAGGGUCCAGGCAGUACCCAGGCAGCACCAGGUUGCUGCUCGCUGCAGAGCUACUGCCAGGCUCGCACCUGGGGGACUGCAGCGUGCUCUCACUUCUCUCUGUUACAAAAACAAAAAUCGCAGUGCCAAUCAAUCAAGCUUGAAAUACGCCUUGUGGUUUCAGUUUAUCGCACCAAAUGGCUGGAGUACAAUAGUUACAAAAUAAACAUCGGGCUCUAAUUUUCCAGUUCUUUGCUGGCCAUUAUAAAAGGUAGAUAUACAAGUUACUUCAAAUGUAGAUUGAACAUGAUUGUGGCUCUCGAGAAGCUAUUCAGGUCCUUAUGUUGUUUGUUCAGCACUCAUGAAA